GCAGUAGGAUAGGCGAAGCGUGCGAUUGGAUUGCACGUCUAAGCAGUAAGGCUGAGUAUUAGGCAAAUCCGGUACUCGUUAAGGCUGAGCUGUGAUGGGGAGAAGACAUUGUGUCUUCGAGUCGUUGAUUUCACACUGCCGAGAAAAGCCUCUAGAUAGAAAAUAGGUGCCCGUACCGCAAACCGACACAGGUAGUCAAGAUGAGAAUUCUAAGGUGAGCGAGCGAACUCUCGUUAAGGAACUCGGCAAAAUGACCCCGUAACUUCGGGAGAAGGGGUGCUCUUUAGGGUUAACGCCCAGAAGAGCCGCAGUGAAUAGGCCCAAGCGACUGUUUAUCAAAAACACAGGUCUCUGCUAAACCGUAAGGUGAUGUAUAGGGGCUGACGCCUGCCCGGUGCUGGAAGGUUAAGAGGAGUGGUUAGCUUCUGCGAAGCUACGAAUCGAAGCCCCAGUAAACGGCGGCCGUAACUAUAACGGUCCUAAGGUAGCGAAAUUCCUUGUCGGGUAAGUUCCGACCCGCACGAAAGGCGUAACGAUUUGGGCACUGUCUCAACGAGAGACUCGGUGAAAUCAUAGUACCUGUGAAGAUGCAGGUUACCCGCGACAGGACGGAAAGACCCCGUGGAGCUUUACUG
rnacentral:rRNA from 1 species